UUUCGCAAUGCCCGAAAGGGUGACGAAGCGACGCCGCGUGGGUGAGGAAGGCCUUCGGGUUGUAAAGCCCUGUCAGGAGUUAAGAAAUGUAAGUGCGCUAAUAUCGCAUUUAUUUGACAAAGGCUCCAAAGGAAGCCACGGCUAACUCUGUGCCAGCAGCCGCGGUAAUACAGAGGUGGCAAGCGUUGUUCGGAAUUAUUGGGCGUAAAGAGCACGUAGGUGGGUUUGUAAGCCAGAUGUGAAAGCCUUCUGUUCAACGGAAGAAUUGCAUCUGAAACUACAAGUCUUGAGUGUAGGAGGGGAGAAUGGAACUUCUGGUGGAGCGGUGAAAUGCGUAGAUAUCAGAAGGAACGCCGGCGGCGAAAGCGAUUCUCUGGCCUAUUACUGUCACUCAGUGUGCGAAAGCUAGGGGAGCAAACGGGAUUAGAUACCCCGGUAGUCCUAGCUGUAAACGAUGGGCACUAAGUAGAGGGGUUUU
rnacentral:rRNA from 1 species